UACGUAGGGUGCGAGCGUUAAUCGGGAAUUACUGGGCGUAAAGCGUGCGCAGGCGGUUCGUUGUGUCUGAUGUGAAAGCCCCGGGCUCAACCUGGGAAUGGCAUUGGAAACUGGCGAGCUAGAGUGUGGCAGAGGGGGGUGGAAUUCCGCGUGUAGCAGUGAAAUGCGUAGAGAUGCGGAAGGACACCGAUGGCGAAGGCAGCCCCCCUGGGCUGACACUGACGCUCAGGCACGAAAGCGUGGGGAGCAAACAGG
rnacentral:rRNA from 1 species